rnacentral:lncRNA from 1 species
AGUGGUGUGGUCUUUAUUUCUUUCAUCAUGAAUUCUUGUGUAAUAUAUUUUUUAAAAUGGUUGAAGUGUGAACCUUCUUGCUUUGCAAUUUGCAAGCAAAACCUUUGAGUGGAAGAGAGGGAGAAAGGAAAGAGGGAAGAAAGAAGGAAAGAGAGAGAAAAUAAAAUAAAAUAAAAUAAAGAGUCGAAAUAAAAGAAGAAAGGAUUAAAAACAAAGGGAUCAAAAUGAAAGCUAAGAACAAAGAGAGUGUAGGCUGAAAAUAGAGAAGAAUCAAGAUGAGAGCUAAGAAUGGAGGUUGAAAACAAAGGAGGUGAAAAUAAGGGCUAUAGUUGUAAUGAUGGUUAUAAUAGGAUGGAUUGAUUUAAUAAAAGAGUGGAUCUAUUUUAAAAAAUUAUAUAUAGAUAUAGAUAUAUAAGAAUAUAUAUGAAGUUAUUAAAGCCACAUCCUAAUGUU